AGAGUUUCAUGGUAAGCAUUUAUAAAUCACACCACGUACGGGUUUCCCAGGGUGAGGCUUAUCCAUCGCACUCCCAAUGUGCUGAUCCCCGGGAUUUCCCCAUUUGUGGGAAACUUGACUAUAUAAUUGUGGUAGUGGGGGACACUGCAUUUGAACUUUCCCCUG